CUUUACCCGAUGCCUUGGGCCUUGAUCAUGAGCAUCUUUUGCGUACACGAUACUUCGGGGCAUUUCCCAGUGAAUAAACACAAAUGACCACAGGGCAUUCCUCGGCUAAAUGAAUACAUUUUCCAAAUGCGAGAAAAAGAGAAUCAUUCAACAAACAUUCCACAUUACUCAACAAUCCAUAAAUUCUAAAUUUGCCUAUCCAAGCUACUGUUUUCCUACCCCAUUCGACCUAUCAUGAUAAUAUCGAGGAAUUGAUAGUUAGACGAAAAAGUAACAAUAACAGUGAAUCAAAACAACUAAUUUAUAUUCAUUUUUAUCAAAUUCUUAAUUCCCGCCCGAAUUUCAUUCUUGAUUAAUUAACAAAUUCCAAUAUAGGUUCAACAAAUCAAAGCCACGACAAUUAUAGACGCUCAAACAUACUAUCAAAAAUUAUAUCAUCAAUCACUACGAACCACACAAAUCACAACGUCAACACAUCAUGUUACGAUAAAAAUGGAAAAGAUAAAGUUGAAGAAUUGGACCUCAAUCUUAUUUCAAGUGUGAAUUACGUGAUGAAAAUAGAGCUCUGUGAAUUCGGAACCUCGAACGAAAACCCACUUAGUCGAUAUUUUUUUAUAUGAUACAAAUUUGGUACGUAUCAAAAACAAGCCAAAAAUAGUCCACAAUCAAAGGAAAACCCGAGAGCUCAACAAACACCAAAUCUCGGUUCCAACAACAUCAAGAAACAAGGUGUAAAUGACACCAAAAGCACUAACAACAACAAGAUAUUAACAACAAUAACGAGAGGAACAACACUACAAUAACAACAAUCCAAUGGUUACAAUAUUACGAGAACAACAAGAACCAAAUGGUUUACUUGACUACACAACUAGUACAUGAUAUGUAAAGAUAGGAAGUGAGACAUACACUAUUACAAGGUUAAGAACCCAAAGAUGUAUUAAAUCUAAGGACCCUAAGACUUACAAUAGCAACACCACACUCUUACGUGACACAAGAGGGAUUCCACCGCUCAAGCACCAACGUUUCCAAGCAAUAAACAAUCACAAGUGAAUCCACACUUGUUCAUGUCCUAGUUUAGGCCUAGAGACCUUCUCUCUCAAGAGAUGUGUUCUUUCAACAGUAUUCAAUAAAACUAAUGAGCUAAAACCCUAACAUGUUCUUUAUAUAGGCUAAUACAAAUAAUAGAUAAAAUGACAAAAGUGACCCUUAGUGUUAAAUGGACAACAACUUCCAAGAACACCAACAACACAACCAACAUCCAACUCCAAAUUCCACAACAACAAAGUUAACCAUCUGGACAAUGCUUCAACAAUUUCAACAACAAUUCGGUCAAAGGUGUUAGUGAAUAAGAACUAACACUAGAAACAACUAAACAAAAACAAAGGGACUCUUAGAUCUAAGACUCAACAUUUUCAGCAAAGAUGAGAAACAAUAAGAAUAACAAUUUUCCUCAUCCAAGAACAACAAUAACAACAAGGAACUCUCGGCCAAGAACACAACAACAAGAACACUCUUCUCGUCCAAGAUCCAAGCUCAAGAACACUUUUUUUUCUCAACUUUCAAGCCCAAGGUUGAUCUUGUUAGAACAAGAUCAAGCCACGCUUUGAUAUCAAAUAAUACAAGAAUGAUAAAGGAGACACAAAACAAACACCAAAAUAGUCCACAGGUUGGAAGACCCCUUUGGUGACCACUCUUGGAUUCACUACAACAACAAUGAAAACAUUAUAACAACAAUAUAUUAAGGUGUUCAACACCUCUAAAAUCAAUGAGACAACAAACUAGAUUAACAACACAAGCACAAGAAUAAGAAGAAUACAAAGUCUCAAUUUUGGGACACCAAGCCCGAGAAUGAACAACAACAACAAUAAAAUAAAUAGAUAGAUAGAUAGAUAGGUAACUUGACAUACAAAUGUACAAACACUAUGAACCUAGGUGUAUAUUAAAGACAAAGACCCAAGAAUUCAUACAAGUAACACCAAGCUCUACGGUGACAUCAAGGAAAAGGGAUUCCCAAGCAACCAAUGUUUCAAAACUAGCACCGACACAAGUGAUAUACACAUUUAUUUACAAGGAAUCCACCUUGCAAGACUCUCUCUUUAGAGCUCUCAAAAUAUGAUCAAAGUUAUGACAAAAUGACCUAACAUGUUCUAUUUAUAGCCUAGGUUUCAACUUAAUACAAAAUGACUAGAAUGCCCUUAAUGAGCCAAGACAAAAGGAAGGCCUUGGAGUGUGCAUAUUGGAUGACUUUGAAGUGUUGGGACUUGUUGUCUACACUUCAAAGCUUGUUCCAUUGGUUGGACAUCUACCCGAUCUCGAGUCUUUACAUAUUGGUCCACAAUCAUGAUCGUACUUGUAUUAUCCUCCCCCUCUUGAAAAAGGAUUCGACCUUGAAUCCGAACCUUGAAAAAUAAUAGGAAGGAUAAGCAAACACAAGUUCCUCAAGGUAUGAGGGUUAGGAUUAGUGUAAUCAAUCAUAGCAUCUUGCCAAGGUGGCUCAAACUUCACAUACACCCAAACAUCCCUCUUACCCGAAUACCCUCCCAAGAAAGAGUCAACUAGUCUAUCCAUAUAAAUGUGACAAGAAAUAAGGAACAAGAGUUGCUCAUCAAUUGGAAAACAUAGACUCUUCUUGAAACAACAAAGAUGAUUGAAAGCUGAGAUAGGAAGGCCAUAAAUUCCACGCGCAUUCAAGUCAUUCCAAAAGACAUCCUCAUCACCAUAACUCAAAUGAUCAUUAGGAUUAAAUGGGUGGAUUGUCCAUGGACACGGGUUUAGGAUGCAUUUUCUUUUCCCAAUACUACCACUAGUACAAUCAUAUAUCUGAUCUAUUCUAGCAUGGUCUAUAAGAAAAACAACUAGAGGGUCAUCCAUAGUCAUUCGGCCAACAUGUUCAACAUCACCAUUUUCACACACAAGUUGAUCUUCGUGACUUCCAUAAGACAAUGUACUAUCACUUGCCACAAUGGCCUCAACACUAGAUGGAUAAAAUAGUGUAUCCACAAUCUCAAGUUGUACAUUAUCAUCACCAAAUAGAGGCAUAUUUGGCUCACCUAAAUACAAACUACCAUUCACACUAGUUGGCUACUAGCCUUAUUCACUGGAGUGCAGGAGUUAGUUUGAUUACCUUGUAGCUCAUGUGUAGCAUAUCCACUCACAAGAACUUGAUUAGGAAGGCUUGGAUUCUCUAUCAAGUUAUCAACUCCUUGAAAAGAGAGCUUUCCGUCCCUUCCAUUCUUCCUUCCACUCGAUCUAUUAUUUUUUCCAUUCUCUCCAUUCGGCUACUAAGGUCAUGUUUGAUACCUAUUAUGGCAGCCAUCAAAUCACUCAUGGUCACCUUUUCCAAUGUCAUAAUUCCUAACAAAAGAAAUUCUAAAACAAAAACACAAAAAACAACAAACUAGUUAAUGUUAGAAAAGAAAACAUCCUCACAAGCUCUCAAGAUCUCACACUUUGAAAUGCCUCUCAAGUGGCCUCACAAGUGUUGGUAACUCGUUUAUACUCCAAGUAGAUUACUUGGUACCAAAUGGAGCUCGAGGUCAGAAUAGAUUCUCUUUUGAAACAACUCAAAGAAAAUACGUAUGGACUUGAACCAAGAAACUACAACGAAUUUCAUAAAGAUAAAAGCACACAAAGAAACGUAGACACGAAUAAACGGACCAAAAAACUAAUUUAUAACCUAGUAGACAAUUACUAGUUUGUUAAUUAGCAAUAGAAUCAACAAAUUGCAACUAAGAAAUAAAGAUUAGAAACUAAGAAAUCAAAAAUUUGAGCCUAAAUUUAACAGUAAAACGUGAUGUGGUAGACACAUAUUGGUUGCGGUUUUAACAAAUUUUAUUUUCCAAAAUUAGAAGUCUUGAACAAUUUGUGAUUUGGAAUUGGUGGGAAUUGAUUUAGGAGGGAAACAAGUCUUGAAAUCCUAUUGUCAAAUUCAAAAAUGGAAGACUUGAUUUUUUUUGUACCAUCUCCCUUAAAACAAGGAAAGUAGUUGGAAAGUGAUUGACUAGUUGAUGGGUGAUGGUAAUUCUUUCAAGACUAACAAGCUUUCACCUUUUUCUCUUCAUCUUUAUAGAUCUAGUAUUCACUUUAUUUUAACAAGUCUUGAAAGGGAUGAAAAACAUCAAGAACAACUUCAACGAUCACCAAGAACACAACAAUCCAAACAACCAAUUUCAACAACAACAAUUCCAACAAAUCACGGCCAAGUCCACCAAGAUGACAACACAACCGGCUAAGGCUUUAAGUUCACAACAACACUUCAACAAAUGCAAGCUCAAAUUUAGAUAUUGACUCAAGAGUGUUAGUGAUAAAGAAAAAUAACACUUGAAACACCAAGACAAACAAAGUGACUCCUAGAUCUAAUGUUCAAGUCUCGGCCAAACACAACAAACUUUCGGCCAAGAUCCAAACUCAAGAAUACUACUUUUUUUUUUGUAUUUUCAAGCAAGCCAGCCCAAUAUUGAUCUUUUGAGAACAAAAUCAAGCCAUGCUUUGAUACCAAAUGAUACGAUAUAAAUUUGGUACGUAUCAAAAAUAAGCCAAAAAUAGUCCACAAUCAAAGGGAAACCCGAGAGCUCAACAAACACCAAAUCUCGGUUCCAACAACAUCAAGAAACAAGGAGUAAAUGACACCAAAAGCACUAACAACAACAAGAGAUAAACAACAAUAACAAGAGGAACAACACUACAAUAACAACAAUCCAACGGUUACAAGAUUACAAGAACUGUGAGAACAAAAUCAAGCCAUUCUUUGAUACCAAAUGAUAUGAUACAAAUUUGGUACGUAUCAAAAAUAGGCCAAAAAUAGUCCACAAUCAAAGGGAAACCCGAGAGCUCAACAAAAACUAAAUCUCGGUUCCAAAAUGACACCAAAAGCACUAACAACAACAAGAGAUAAACAACAAUAACAAGAGGAACAACACUACAAUAACAAAAAUCCAACGGUUACAAGAUUACAAGAACUAAACGGUUCACUAGACUACAUAACUAAUACAUGAUAUGUAAAGAUAUGAAGUGAUAGAUACACUAUUACAAGGUUAAGAACACAAAGAUGUAUUAAAUCUAAGGACCCCUAAGACUUACAAUAGCAAAACCACACUCUUACGUGACACAAGAGGGAUUCCACCGCUCAAGCACCAACAUUUCCAAGCAAUACACAAUCACAAGUGAAUCCACACUUGUUCAUGUCCUAGUUUAGGCUUAGAGACCCUCUCUCUCAAGAGAUGUGUUCUUUCAACAAUAUUCAACAAAACUAAUGAGCUAAAACCCUAACAUGUUCUUUAUAUAGGCUAAUACAAAUAAUAGAUAAAAUGAUAAAAGUGCCCCUUAGUUUUAAAUGGACAAAAUGCCACCCAUGGAGUGCAAUAUAGGGGUGGAUUUGGAGCCCUUCACACUUCAACUCAUACACUCCGUAGGUUGCAUUCAACACACUAAAAAAUAUCCAUCUUCAUGAUCGUGCUCGUAUCACUUUUUCUUCGUAGGCAAAACCAUAUUUUGAACAAACUCGAAUGUUAGUAACCCCAAAAUUUAGAAACAUCCUAUUUCCACCAUUUUUCUCGAUUACAGGUGGUGGGAGCCGCGGGUUUAGCUCACCCAUUGAUGUAUUUCCGGUGGUUUUGGCUAGAAUUAAUUUGGGAUGGUUGUUUCCGGGUGGGUUUUUGCGGGUUGACCAAAAAUAGGUGCGGGAGGUGAUGGUUAUCGUCAGGAGGUAUUUUUGUCGGAGAUGGGAUGGGCAAUGGCUGGCAGCAGAGAGAAAGAUCUGGCCGGCAUCGAUGAAGUGCUUACCACCGAAACAGUGACUCCGCACAAACUUUUUCACUCUCGAUUUCUCUUUGUUUUGCUCCUACUCUCUCCACUUCUCACUGGUGUGUGUGUGCAUGUGUCUUCAUGGGUGUGUGUCGCUGUGAUUUGCUGAGAAUCGAUCAACAAAAAUGUCCUCCUCCAAUGGUUUUGCUAUGCGUGAGUUUUUUUUAAGAAAUUGUGUAUGUAUGAAUACAAUGUGGGUGUAUCUGUGAUGAUGGAUUCCCUGUGGAUCCCCCUCCCUUUUUUUGUUUUUUUUCCUGUGUGUAUAAAAUAUUUUUCUCUUGUGUUCUGCUCAGAGAGAAAACAUGAGGGGGCUUGAGGUAUGUGGGUAGAAGGGGUAGGGUAGCGAGGUGGGACAGUUGGUUAGGAUAGGGUUGUUAAUUUAUUAGGGAGUUUGUUAUUUUGUCUUUUUAUAGAAGAAUAAUUACGUGGGUGAAGGUAUAUGAUAAGGUGAGCUAGAAAAAAUGAAUAAAAUUGAGCUAUGGGAUGGACAAAAUUAGGUGUCUAUAUCAUGCCCCUUUUUGGGUGUAAACACAAAGUGUUUUCGGACAAAAAAGUAGAUAGCGAGAUCAAAAUUUGAUCCGACUAUUAUUCAAGGAAAGAAACAAAAGGAAGAAGGGCAACCGGGUCUUGACUUAGGACAUCCUACCUACUCAAAUUAUGAGGGAAUCAAGUAACAGGUAUCUCAAAGGGUUGAAAGGAGAGGGAUUAUACCGAGUUGGAGAGUCGAGUGAAGCCCUGUCGAGGUUCCGGUCCACGGCUCUAUUAUUACAUCAAAAAUGAAAAUAAUAAGUUAAAAAGAUAACUUAAAUUACAAAAUCCUAUCUAUGCAACUUCUCUGAACUCUUGACUUGAGUUUCAUCACCCUAUUCUUCGGGCGGGCUCCCGACUUGCAAUUUCAUCAUCCUGUUCUCCAGGCAGGCUCCUGACUUGCUAUUUUCAAUCUGUUAACUUUCAAUUUCUUUACCUUGUUGCUUCACUCUUAACUUCUUCCCAUUGUUGCUUGACUUUCCAUUUAUUCACCCUGUUCUUCAGGAGGGUACCUGAAAUCGCAUCAAAACUAGAAAGAAAAUUAUUCCAAACAAAGAUUAUGAUAAAAAGAGAUUCCAUUUGCCAGAAAAGUAAAGUUCCAAACAACAGGAAUUAAAUUUCUCGCCCUAGUUUAUCAUUAAAGGACUUUUGUGAAUAUCAUAUCAUAAUUACUUGUAUGUUGCAAUGAUGAAUCAAGACUCUGACCAAGAAAUGCAUCUCUUGAGAGUAAAAUUAAAUGACCAAAUACUAGAAAGUGUGUCUCUUAAGAAUUAAAGUGAGAAAUGUUGACUAGAUAGUGCGUCUUCUAGAGCUAAAGGUUCAAAUUAGGAAGUGUGGCACCUGACAAAUGAAAACUGACAAGGAAGUGUGUCUCUUAAGGGUUAAGUUCAAUGAUUCGACUAGAAAGUACAUCUUCUAGGAAUCAAAGGAACUGACUCGACUUGGAAGUACAUCUUCUAGGAAUCAAGGGGAAUGACUUGACCAGAAAGUACAUCUUCUAGGAAUCUAGGGGAAUGACUCGACCAAGAAGUACAUCUUCUAGGAAUCAAGGGGGAUGACUCGACCAGGAAGUACAUCUUUUAGAAAUCAAGAGGGAUGACUUGACCAGGAAGUACAUCUUCUAAGAAUCAAGGGGAAUGACUCGAUCAGGAAGUACAUCUUCUAGGAAUGAAGGGGUCAUCUUCUAGGAAUCAAGGGGGAUGACUCGACUAGGAAGUACAUUUUCUAGGAAUCAAGGGGGAUGACUCGACCAGGAAAUAUAUCUUCUAGAAAUCAAAGGGAUUGACUCGACUAGAAAGUACAUCUUCUAGAAAUCAAAGAAAAAUGACUCGACUAGAAAGUACAUCCUCUUAGAAUCAAUGAGAAUGACUCGACUAGGAGGUACAUCUUCUAGGAAUCAAGAAUUAAGUUAGGAAGUGCAUCACCUAACAAGUAAAAUUUGAAUUACCCAAUCAAGGAAGUGCGUCUCUUUACCAAUGCCACUUGAAUUACCAAAACAAGAAAGUGUGUUUCCUUACCAAUGUCUCUUGAAUUACCAAAACAAGGAAGUUCGUCUCCUUACUAAUGUCGCUUGAAUUACCCAGACAAGAAAGUGUAUCUCCUUACAAAUGCCACUUGAAUUACGCAAACAAGGAAGUGUGUCUCCUUACAAAUACCGCUUGAAUUACCCAAAAAAGAAAGUGCGUCUCCUUACAAAUGUUGAUUGAAUUACCCAAACAAGAAAGUGUAUCUCCUUACAAAUGUCUCUUGAAUUACCCAAAUAAGGAAGUGCGUCUCCUUAUAAAUGUUGCUUGAAUUACCCAAACAAGGAAGUACGUCUCCUUACAAAUGUCUCUUAGAUCACCCAAGAAAAUGUGUCUCCUAGGGGUUAACUACUCAACUAGAAAGUACAUUUUCUAAGAGUAAAGGCUUAAGUCAAGAAGUGAACUACUUAACAAGCGAAACUUGAAUAUCUACUAAGAAAGUGUCUCUCCUAAGGGUCAAGUGGAACGAAUCGACUAGAAAAUGCGACUUCUAGGAGCAAAAGUUCAAUUUAGGAAAUACAUCACCUAAUAAAUGAAACCUGAAUUACUCAGAAAGAGGUGUAUCUCCUAGGGGUUGCAUGGAAGGACUCAACCAGACAGUGCAUAUUUUAGGAGUAAAGGCUUAAGUUAGGGAGUAUGUCACCUAGCAAGCCAAAACUUGAACUACCUUAACAAGAAAGUGUGUCUCCUAAGGGUUAAGUGGAAGGACUCAACUAGAAAGUACGACUCCUAGGAGUGAAGAUUCAAUUUGGGAAGUACAUCACCUAAUAAAUGAACUUGAAUUACCUAGACAAUAAAGUGUCUCCUAGAGAUAUUGGAUUAUGAGUUUUACCAUAGUUCUGAUCACCAAACCUGUGCAGCAGCAUUGUCUCCUAUAUUAGUAGCAUUGUCUCCUAUAUUAGUAGAAGUGAGAAAUUAUGGCCUUUGAUGUUUAAGAUUUUAAAUCCUUGAUUUGAAGAUAACAUUUGUUCCUAUUUCAUGCAAAGAAAACUUGUGUUCAAAAAUAUGGUGGCUGGUUUGUGACUUUAGCUUUUGCGGCAAUCGUUCUUGCCCCCGUCACAUUUAAUCUUGGUUUCAACCAUUAGCAUAUGUCAUUGACUUGUUGCAUCAUUGACCCAAACUCAAAUUAUUAAGAGUGACUUCGAAACAGACAUGGUACCUAGACUUUGCCAUGCUUCUCAGAUAACCCUUUGAACCUUGGUAUUUCCAUGAGUUUCCAGACUUAUCUAUUGAUGAAAACUUUUUGCAUGCCUUAUUUUGGCUCACAAUCAUGUUUCUUUCAUGUGCUGACCUUUUGUCUUGCUUUGUGCAAUUGAAGAAACUGGUAGCUAGUUUUGCAAUCUUUUCUCACUUGUUUUGACAUGAACUUGACUCAAAGACAAGAGAAAAAUGACAAUGAUUUUUUAUUUGAAUAACUGACUCAAGAAAAUAAAAUAAAAAUAAAGAGAAGAAAGAAAAGACAAUGAUUGUUCCCUUGAAACAAAGAAACAAAAAAUUUAUCUAAAAAUAACAGUCAACUCUAAUGAUUAUGCCAUACAUUUUGGAUUAAGCUGUCUGAUCUUUUCAUCCAAACUUUCUACCAAUUAUUCUUGAGUUAAUGGCCCUGAAACUAAGUUACUUCCUUAGGCCAAUUGCAUUUGAAGACUUUAUUUGGUUAGUGGCGCCUUGAAGAGUUUUUGCCAACAAGCCUUUCUCAUUUUCUUUCUCUCAGCUCAUCAUUUUCCUAUAGUGUCCAUGAGGGGUUUUCACCAAUGAGACUCUCUUAUUUUUAUUUCUCUCAACUCACAGCCUUCUUACAGUGCCCAUGAGAAUUUUUACCAAUAAGACUCUCUCAUUUUUAUCUCUCUUAACUUACCAUCGUCUUAUGGUGCGGUGCCCGAGAGGGUUUUCAACAAUGAAACUCUCUCAUAUUUCUCUCCAGAUUCCUUAUGUUGAGGAAGAUAAGUAACCAAAAUAUGCCAUCAUAUCCAUUGCAUGCUUAGCCUUAACAUUUUCAAAGAUUGAUCUGAAGGUCUUUCUUUGGUUGUAACUUGAUUUUUGGAUAAUCCACUUGUCGAUGUCUUGGUAACAAACAAUUCUGAAGCUAGGCCUGAAAGACUCUCACCGAAAUAAGCCAUGAGCAAUUCUUCCUCCCCCAGCGCCCCUUAAUUGGUUACAAUAGUGCCUCAAAUGUGCCACUGGGACAUCGUGCCCGUCGUAUUUCUCAAACUUCGGUAUUUUAAAGACAAGAGGGAGAUUAACAUCUGGAAACAUGCACAGAUAUUUAUAUGAGACACUUUUGUACCUCCAAGUCCUUGAAAAUUCUUCAUAGCCAAUUCCAAACUUCUCAAUUUUCUGGUCAUUUCCUUUUGUUCUUCUUUCAUAAAAUGCUUUUCAGCAUUAAGAUAAAAUUCAGGUGGAUGACUGUAGCCAUAUAGACCAGUCGACUUAAAUGUGGGCUCGAGAGAACAAUGUUGAUCACCAAAAAUAUUUAAUACAGGGUCGCUUGUAAAGUAAGGAAUUACAACCGUUGGAUUGACAUUAAAAGCAGGAGCUUCAGGAAGGGGUGGAGCCACAAAAGCAUGAACAGUAAGUAGAUACGAGUAUGUGGUAACUUUGUGUUGAGGAGUAAGGAAAUGAAUAUUGGAAGUGUUUGGAUAGUGUUGGCCCGGUGUAGUCCCUGAUGCAUGUUGUGGCAUGUGAAAAAAAAAUAAAAAAAUUGUGCAUAUGACACGGGAGGCAUGCUAGAAAGAUAUUCUAGAUUAUCAGUGGGAAAUGGAGGCGGUGGCAACCCAUUAGCCCAAACUCAAUGCAUUUCUAUCAUUUGCUGCCUUAUUUUUUGAAUCCCUUCAUUAGCUCCUAAAUUUUCAUUCCUUGAACUCUAUCUUAUUAGUGACAACAACCUCGGUAUUCUUAUUGGCCAUAACUUUCUCUUCGACUUGGUGCAAUAUGGAGGAUCGACCAAAAUGUCACAAACCAACCACCUUAAACUAACUGAACAAGAGAUAACAAAGGCGUUAGAAUGCAAUACUUUUCAAAAAAUCUUUUGCUUGUUUUCUUUUGAAAAGAUCACUGAAUCCAAGAAGGGAGCCUAUGUAUCUCACUCCCGCGAGAGGAGAAUUAGAUGUGCGUAGUUCGUGAAGUCUUGCUAAAAUGGCCAAUCAAACUCUUUUUCCUUUUUUUUUUAGGUUUUUUCUCUCAAAAAAGUGGGCUUAUUGAAUAUCAUAUUGGUUUGGCUUUGUUCACAUUCAGUAGCAGCUUGCUGGUGUCCUUUCAGGUCAGGAACUCCUGCAAUAGGCAGCUAGCCUAUUGGAAAAAGACUACUCUCAUCCCUCUACUUUCAGUCGAGUGAGCUAAUUUUUUUCGUGCUUCUUAAGUCGAAGUUGACCUGUAUAUAAGUCAGAUGUUGGUGGAUUCCUCCCCCAGAGAGGUAACCAUCCCCGGUCUUCUAAUCACUAGUCUUGUUGUAAGCCCCUCUCAUCCCCCUCAUGUGGGGGAGAACAGAUCCCCUUCCCCGGGGCCUAGAAAAUCAUUCAAGAAUAUCAUUAUAAAUGGUUGCGAUUUUUGAAACUUUGAGAAGAAAAAAAAAUAACAAUUUGUCAAAAUAAUUGACAAAAAUCUAUUUGCAUUUUUCAGAUUUAAAUCCCUAUACAAAAUAAAACCUAUGAUUACCAAAGAAAAAUCUUUUUGAGUUUUCGAUUCUGAAUUUUAUAUGAAAAUGAAACUUGAAAUUAUUAAAAAAAAUAUUUUUGUAAUUUUCUUUUUAAAAUGUAUAUAUAAAACAUCUACUCCAAAUGAAGAGUGAAGAAAAUAUUUUUAAAUUUUUUGAAUAAGAUCACCAAACCCUGAAAGGGAUGCCUACGUAUCUCACUCCCAGGAGAGGAGAAUCAGGUGUGCUUAGUUUGUCCAAAUUGGACAAUUAAAGAUCAACUAACAAACUAAACCUUGACAAAUGAUGAAAAACGCUAAUAAAAUCUUUUUGAAUUUUUAAUUUGACACUUCACAUAUAAAACUGACACCAACAACUACGAAAGAAUUUUUUUUUUGAUAUUUUCGUUAUAUGAAAUGUACAAAAUUUUUACCAUCUUUUUUUUGUAUUUUCUUUUAUAAAAAUCUCCUAUUGAAAUUUUUUUUUUUAAUUUUCGAAUUGUGAAUGCUUGCUAAAGAGAACAAAAGAAAAAAAAAAUUGAGGUUUUUUUGUAUUUUGAGAAAAUGAGUGCAAAAGAUAAAAAAUCUUUUUGAAUUGUGGAAAAACAAAAGCUGUAAAAAAACUCAAAAAAACAAAGAAACUCUUCUUUUUUGACUCAUUUUUCUUCUUUUUCCUUUUUUUUAUUUUUCAAUGCCUACACACCUUUCUUUAAUUCUAGCACACCUAAUCAAUCCUCAAAGAUGCAAUAAUUAGCACAUGGGGACGCUUUAGGGGUGAGUCUCCUACAAAGGACCAAGUGAGUCUCGUUAGGUCUCAAUAUGAUGCAGAUAAGCAUGACCUAAAGGUUGACCUACGCUGGGGUCCACUAACAAGGUUGUUCGGGGGAGCAUAUGAUCGAUAGUAGCUGCUUUGCUUUCCACCUACUUCAUACGUCCGACGACUCACCCUCCUAAAAUAAGGCAGUAUUCAACAAUGAUAAAACACUAACAUAAACACUAACACAAACAAUUCCUAUACACUUCCAAUGUCAAACUAAGAUGAUACAACUCCAAAAAAUAAGCUCGAAUUCUGAAAAGAUCCCCAGCAGACUCGCCAUAGUAUUUACACCCUUUUUUUAACCAAAAAGAUUAAUUUUAAGUUUGAAAAGAAUUUUUAUUAUUAAAGUGACAAAAUAAAGAUCUGUUUCGAAAAAAGUUCUUUUUCAUUUAACUCAAAGUCGUCACUUGGCCUAAUCGGAUGUGCCAAGUCACCUUUGAAAAUCUGUUUUUCAAAACUGUUUUUGACUCUUUAAAACUGGUUUGCAAACAAAGAUUACGGUUAAGGAAUUCUGUUGACCGAGGGAAAAGUGUUAGGCACCCCUCGAUCCCGUGGUUCUACCACGGCCGCUUCAAGGAGCAUAUCGGCUAGUUCGACACUGCGAGUGUAUAAACCACAUAGAACACACAACAAUCAAACAAACAAACACAAAUAAAACAAAUCCCAAAAUAUAAUAUCCAGUCCAAUUUAUACAGUCCCAAAAUAAAAAAAUGCAGAAAUGUAAACCUACGCUAAUCUACACUAAUCCUAAACUGCGCUUCAAUGUUUUACCCGAUGCCUUGGGCCUUGAUCACGAGCAUCUUUUGCGUACACUAUACUUCGGGGCAUUUCCCAGUGAAUAAACACAAAUGACCACAGGGCAUUCCUUGGCUAAAUGAAUACAUUUUCCAAAUGCGAGAAAAAGAGAAUCAUUCAACAAACAUUCCACAUUACUCAACAAUCCAUAAAUUCUAAAUUUACCUAUCCAAGCUACUAUUUGCCUACCCCAUUCGACCUAUCAUGAUACUAUUCAGAAAUUGACAAUUAGACGCAAAGGUAACAAUAACAGUGAAUCAAAACAACUAAUUUAUAUUCAUUUUUAUCAAAUUCUUAAUUCCCGCCCGAAUUUCAUUCUUGAUUAAUUAACAAAUUCCAAUAUAGGUUCAACAAAUCAAAGCCACGACAAUUAUAGACGCUCAAACAUACUAUCAAAAAUUAUAUCAUCAAUCACUACGAACCACACAAAUCACAACGUCAACACAUCAUGUUACGAUAAAAAUGGAAAAGAUAAAGUUGAAGAAUUGGACCUCAAUCUUAUUUCAAGUGUGAAUUAUGCGAUCAAAAUGGAGCUUUGUGAAUCCAAAACCUCGAACGAAAACCCACUUAGUCGACGCUUCUUCUCCAUAGGGAAAAGCAGAUUUCAAACAAACUCGAAUGUUAUUAACCCCAAACUUCA
rnacentral:lncRNA from 1 species